rfam:Salmo salar isolate Sally breed double haploid chromosome ssa14, whole genome shotgun sequence.
UAGCUCAGUUGGUAGAGCAUAGUGUUUGCAACGUCAGAGUUGUGGGUUUGAUUCCCAC